rnacentral:rRNA from 1 species
AACGAACGCUGGCGGCAGGCUUAACACAUGCAAGUCGAACGGGUGUAGCAAUACAUCAGUGGCAGACGGGUGAGUAACACGUGGGAACCUUCCUAGUGGUACGGAACAACUCAGGGAAACUUGAGCUAAUACCGUAUACGUCCGUGAGGAGAAAGAUUUAUCGCCCUUAGACGGGCCAGCGUCGGAUUAGGUAGUUGGUGGGGUAACGGCCUACCAAGCCUACGAUCCGUAGCUGAUCUUAGAGGAUGAUCAGCCACACUGGGACUGAGACACGGCCCAGACUCCUACGGGAGGCAGCAGUGGGGAAUCUUGGACAAUGGGCGCAAGCCUGAUCCAGCCAUGCCGCGUGAGUGAAGAAGGCCUUAGGGUUGUAAAGCUCUUUUACCGGGGACGAUAAUGACGGUACCUGGAGAAUAAGCCCCGGCAAACUUCGUGCCAGCCGCCGCAGUAAAAC